rnacentral:rRNA from 1 species
UACGGGGGGGGGGCAAGCGUUGUUCGGAAUUACUGGGCGUAAAGGGCUCGUAGGCGGCCAACUAAGUCAGACGUGAAAUCCCUCGGCUUAACCGGGGGAACUGCGUCUGAUACUGGUUGGCUUGAAUCCGGGGAGAGGGAUGUGGAAUUCCAGGUGUAGCGGUGAAAUGCGUAGAUAUCUGGAGGAACACCGGUGGCGAAGGCGGCAUCCUGGACCGGUAGUUGGACGCUGAGGAGCGAA